GCAUGGAGGGGAUGGAAUCCCGGGGGAGGCAGGAGCUGCUCCGGGGAUGAGGAGGGUUCAUUCUUCGCCGGUCACCUGCAGGUGGGGCGGCUCCACAGCGAGCGAGUGCAUGCGCGGGGGAGCCGGAGGAAGGGGGACUCCUUUACUUUUCCCCCUUUGCCCUGCUGUGGAGGCGGUUUUGCAGCCGAAACGGAGCGAGCGGCAGCUGUCAACCGGGAGAAAAAAGCAAGAGAAACAAAGAACAUGGCGAGUCUUUGCAAGCAGUCGUCAUUCCGGUUCCCUCUCCCAAAUCUCUUCACAGAUUCCGGAACUGGUAGCCCAAGUGGAGUGCAGGUGCAGCAACAGGUAGCGAAUCUCCAGUUGGCCUCCUUUACUUGACUGAUGCACACAAAGGGAUAGGGAGCAAGCAAAUAUAAUUCCAUGUUGCUGAAUUAAAAAUGCUGUCCUUGUCUUCUAGCCAUUUGAUGCCCAUGUGAGGUAUCUUGGGAGGAAGAGGAGCAGUGUUACCUCUCUGUAUGCAGUAUCUCUCUGUGACUGACCUGGUUCAUCACUUGUAUAAAUGUAUGUUCCUCCCCUCUUAUUUCUUAAAAUCCUACAUCUGACUUUUUGCCCACCCUUGCAGCUGUAAAUGCCUUGGUGUACAUGAAUUCUGGUCUUUAUAUAACUUUUCUACCUCACUGCCUGAGAAAAUCAUGAGACUUUUUAUAUGAAUAUCUGACAGGUGGCUGUGGCUUUUUGUGUUUAUUGCGGCAAACAUUUUAUUUUGAUUAAGGUUCUUAUAAGAGUAUUAUGAUUAUUAUUUUCUACAAUAAUGGGAUAUUUAUAGAGUCUCCAUGGAAACAGGGGUUUGCAUUUGUUCUUUAGGCAGUAGUACUUUAAAAGACAAAACAAAAACCCUCAUAUUUGAUUCCCCACAUAAGGCCAUUCUGUCACCAGAACUAUCAGUCCCAGUGAUUUCAUCAGUCAGCAAGCUGACAGUUUAUU